GCAGAAUCUCCUAUGGGAAAAAUUAGUUUGGCAGAAUCUUCCUGAAGGCAUUUGGAGGGUGUUACAUUUCAGUUGGAACCAGGAAGCUGCCAGUAUAGAAUUUCACUUCUUCAUUCACAAAUUCCUUCGGAGGAAGUGUUGAGUGUUUCAUCCCAUGCCUCCUGGAGUAGCGCAAACUUCAAGCUCACAUGACACCUGAAAGGUUUUGAACACCAUUUCGUGAAAUAGCCUUGAGCAUCAAAUUGCUGCAGUUGGGAGGAAUUUGUCAGUUUUUGGCCAAAGCAAUAGAACCACCACCUUUGGGUGCAGUGAUGGAAGCAGAACGCACACUAAGAGGUACCCCUGUUUGUCCACAAGGUUGUGUGUUAGCAAAGGAUCACACUGAAAAUGCCCCACAGCGUGGCUGCCUGGAUCCCGGCAUGCUGCAAUGGAGGCUGUCAUUGUGGAGGUGACUAAAGAUGUGGGGAUCAUUUAGCAGCUGGACGCACCAAAUGAGCAAAUGUGAUCCGUCAGAUCUCCAGGCUGUCAGGCGCAGGCAUCGGCCUGAUGGCUGCCGAUGCAAGGUUAGCUCCCCUCUGCUGGCUCAUGCAGUCGGACUUUGGGACAGGGAGCACUCACCACCUCUUCCCACAGGGACACCAAGUGCCCAAACGGCAGCUUCAGGCUGUCAGCUCACUGCUCAUGGAGGCUGCAGAAGCCCAGAGCUAAUAUCACCAGGAGAGUUGUGUGUGGUGUGGAAAGGAGCUUUAGGCUUUUGCUGCAAAAAGUAGUCUGAGCAUAUGUAAAAUUGUCAUGUUCAGGGUCUGAUGCAGACAAAUCACUGCCUGUUUCCACAGGAAGGACAAACAGCUCUCAGGAAUAAAAGCUCUGUCAUCGCCUGUUCCAAACCACAAGGACUUUCAUAGACAAGCUUUCCUGGUCUUCAGAAGAAGUCAGCAUUUAAAGGGGAGAUGAAUGCAAGCAGUAACAGGAAGCUGCAUUAAAGCAUCCUUAAAAUAAACAAGCACUGAACAAACAAUCCACGCCAGAGGCUUUGCGUGAGGCACUGUUUUUUCAAAGUGACCAAAGCCAUGCACAUUGGUUCCUGAAGGAUAAGAAAGUCUUUUAAAGAAGCAUCAGGUGCUGCCUUAGUGUUUGCUGUCGCUGACAGUUGGCCUUGGUGAAGCACAUGCAUUCUGUGUCUGGGCGGAAAAGUGAAGGAUAAAAGACCGAGGUGCGAGGAAUGCCUUCAGUUUAUCUGUACUACUGCUGGGAUUUCUGCUUUACCAGUUAGCACGAGCCUUCACGUCACACAAGGGCCAACUUUCACACCUGGAGGGAGUGGAGGGGAGUAAGAGUUGUCCCAACUGCAUCAGCUUUUUUUUUCCAAGGAGAGGUGUUGAAUCCAUUGCAAGAAAAGAAAAUUUUCAACCACGAUACAGUUCGUUUGUUAAAAUUUUAUCAUCUGUGAAAGGUAAAAUAGUUCAAAAAGUGCCAAAUAGUUCACAAUUUCGAAAGCCUGGGCAACUCAAAUCCAGCAUUGUCCUGUCCUUUGACAAGGACUGGUCUGCCUCUUGUCUGCUCCGGGACUGCACAUACCUAACAAGCCCACUUGUUUUCUGCCAUUCCUGGUAAUCAUUCUUCAAACCAGCCAUUUACUGGAGAUUUCAAAGUCCUCAAGUUUCAGGAAAUGUGAAGAAUUCAGGAAAUAUGAAAAAUGCUGCACAGCUACAGCGACAAUAAUGUAAUCGGAAGAGUCGUUAUGGCCCUAUGCAAUGCCACAAUUUGAAAGUGAGUGACAGUUCAGGUUGGGACAACAAAAUAAACUAUAGGCUCUCUGUCCUUCUUGUGAAGACUGGGAAUCUUUCUGACCAGUUCAAAGCAGCAUGAUGCUGUGCUCUUCCAAAUACGCAAGACAGCAAGAAGCAUUCUUACUGAGAGCAACCACAAGCUACCUCUUACCACCUCACCUGGUGCCACCAGGUCUUCUCAUCACCCCUUCACAGUCUAGCUUCCCUGAAGGAGGAAUUCAACAGAAGCUUGCAGAAUUAUCAUACAUAAUUUGUAGUGGGAUGAACAAUUGCUUCAUUGAGCUAAGUCCUGUUUGUACUCUGGAACCUGAAAACAUUGGCAAUCCUGGCUGCAUGAUGUGAGAAUAACACACUGGGAGAACAUCUGCUGUCCCAACUGUGACUUGGAAGGAAAUUUGACAGCAUCUGAGAUGAAUCUUUGCCAGAAAACAGGAGUGGGAGAGAUUGACAUGAUCACCAUGUAAAGCUGUAGCCUAUCCUCUGUACACUCUCCUGGUGCUCACUUUUCAGUUGUGCCUGUAGGUUGUUGCCUGGAGAAAUCAAGCUUUUUCGUCAUUGCAGUUGAUGCCAAGACUGAAGCAGCACUGAGCUGGCAGGAAUGGAAUGGAAAUCACACCUUGUACUUUGUUUCACUUCAGACGCUAGAAAGAUGUGAUGGAUCAGUUGAUUAAAAUUUGCAGUAUUUUGUAUGCUUCAGUGUAAUUAUACAGAUUAUCCCAGCUGGAAUUGUCAGUCAAAAUAUUUAAGCCAACUUUUUAAAAUAAAGAUUUCAACUUACACAGAAAAUCAAGGGUGCCUAAAGCUUUCCUUUUAUCUUAAUAAAAUUAAAGUGCUUAGAGCAGUUUUUCUCUGGUGAUACCUUACAGGAGACUGCAGCGUGGUUUCUUUUCACAAAUACCUGUAAAGCCACCUGAAUUUUGUCA